rnacentral:rRNA from 1 species
UACGAAGGGGGCUAGCAUUGCUCGGAAUCACUGGGCGUAAAGGGUGCGAAGGCGGGUCUUUAAGUCCGAGGUGAAAUCCUGGAGCUCAACUCCAGAACUGCCUUUGAUACUGAAGAUCUUGAGUUCGGGAGAGGUGAGUGGAACUGCGAGUGUAGAGGUGAAAUUCGUAGAUAUUCGCAAGAACACCAGUGGCGAAGGCGGCUCACUGGCCCGAUACUGACGCUGAGGCACGAAAGCGUGGGGAGCAAACAGG